GUGAUAGUUUUUUGCUUUCCAGCCUCUCCUGUAGGAAGGAGUGAUCUCUCCCUCCCCAUCCUGCCUGUGAAGUAGGUGAAAGUUCUUCCAUGGUGGAUCGUGACCCUUACGGAGGUUGUAGGAGGAUUUGAAGAGAACCAGUGUUUAU